UAAUUCAUAAAUCAAAUACUGCUACUUCCUUCACAACUUUGAUAGCUUAUGUAGUUUUCAGGUUGCCUUAAUUCCCUUUUCUCUAUUAGUUCACCUAUCUUCCAUUCUUCUCCUACUCUUUCUUCAGAGCCAAUUUUAAGACGGUUCAUAAAUUUAAUACAUUUUGAUUGCAUACUAUCAAUUAUGUCAUUCACAUUCACUCUAUAUCUGGAGCUACUUCUAUUAGUGAGCCUUCCUAUAAAUUCUAUACUUACUAGCAAGUUUGUUCCUUUAAAAUCUUCGUACCCUUUAGUUUGGAAACCAAAAAUCAUUUUUUCAAUGAAUUCUUUUACAAGCAUCAUUAGGUCUGGAGCUAUAUAGGUUAUUAAUCUAUUUUCAUUCAUGUCUCCUUCCAAAAAUCCUAAUGCUGCUUUAUCUACCGAUUCCCAUCUUCUGUCUAAUAAUGUUAUUAAAACCUUUGCACCUAAUUUCUUCCUUGUCAUACCUUUGACUCCUAUGAUAUACAUACCUUGAUGAAUAUAUUUAUAACCACAAUAUUUUAGUUCAUUUUCAAUAUUUUUGCUUACAAUUCUUAAAUCUACUGGGUGUGUUAACACACUUAAUUCUACUUCUCUGGAUAUUCUAUAUAGACCACUUUUACUCUCAAACAUACCCAUGUGGUAUACUUGUUGCAGCUUUAUUUUUCUUAGGAUAUCUUUCUGAUAUCUUUCUAGAUCUCUUUGUAUAUCUAUAACAUCUUCAGUACUAUCAAUAUCAUCAGCUUUGCAUGAUAAUGUAUGCUUCAUGGCUAGAGGUCUUGAAUCUUGCCUUACUAAUUGGAGGGUUUUGUCUCUUCUAAGGAAGCCUUUAGAUACGUCCAUUUUUCUGAAUUAAUAUUUCUAGCAAAGGCAACUAUUCCGGAUGACGAAAGCACAAUUUCUUUGUUGAUUUGAACACUAUUUAGUUUAUCUAAAACCUGGAUUAAUAGAUGGAGGAUGGUGUUAUUUUGUCUUAUUAUUACUUGGAAUCUUCUUUUGGGGAGUCGUGAUCGGAGAAUCUGACGGAAGGUAAUAGAUAUUUUGCUACUUCGUUUAAUGCUUGAGUAUAUUCAGUCAUAUAAUUAUGGGAUAAUCAAAGUUUUAACCUCUUGCACCAACUUUUUUAUUUCAAGUAUAUCUUGUCUUGUUUCGGUGCGUGGGAGUGGCUCUUUUCCUUUACUUAGGUAAUGGCCUAUUGAUAACACUUCUUUAAUAUAAUCGUUAAUUUUGCAAACUGUAUUUUGUCUUGCUUUUGCUUCCUCUAACUUAUGUAAAGCUAAAUCAAUUUUUUUAUUCAACCCUGAAUACCUAUCAGCAAGUUUUUGGUAUUCUUUAAAUAAACUUCCAAAUUUUUGGUAUAAAUUAUCUUGUCUUUUUCCCCAAGAUAUGUAAAAAUUAUAUAUCAAUCGACGACUGUAUUUAACUGGCUAUGAGAUGUAUGCUAGAUAUGCUCUUCAGAGGGAUUUAUUCUACACCUUAUAUUUAGAUUUUCCUUAGUAUUAAUUACUUUACCUACGCUAACUUCUAUGUUUAAAUAUUUUAACCUUUCAAUGAUUAAACGCUGGACCUGAUACCAACAAUAUAGGGAAUCAAAAUUAUUAUAAUAUUUAGUUUAAUAUGUGAUUAGGUGAAAGUGGUAGACAGGUAUACUUUUUAUAUGAAUAGUAUUUACUGUUUACUAGGUAGGGCACUACUCAUAAUAGUGCUUUACUAUUCAAUAUACUAUUUGGAAUAGUAUUUCACUAUUCACAGCAAUAUUUAAUUCUUUGGUAUUAUAUGCUCGUUAUGUACUUAGUAAGCAGAUUAUAUCUUAAUGCAGGAUCUAUUUAGGGCUGGCGAGGCCAACAAUACGUCCGAUGGUGUGCGCAGAGGUGUAAAAUCCUACUCAGUACUCACCAUAUUUUCCAUUAUGUUAUAUCAGAUGUAGCUAGUUACGUUCACUUAGUAGUUUUAAUUGCAAAUUUUCGGGGUAAAGUCAUAUCAUCUUCCCAGGGAGUUCCACCCGAAGGGAACACUUCUCUAGGGCCACAAGGUUGUCAUUCAAACGCCACUCUGGGCUACACAGAGAACUACAGACGCAAAGGUUUCUUCUAUAGGAUCCCUAGCAUAAGAAUUUGUCCCAUAAAUUCAUAAAUAAAAAUACCAAGUAAAACCAAGAAACUACAUCAUUUCCACAACAUAAUUUACAUAUGGCUUUCCCUUUCGGGAGGCCCCGAAGGGAUUACACAAGCUAAAGGAAAUUAUCUUCUAACUACCUUCUUGAGCCUUACAAUGCUCUGGAUAUUGUGGCUCUUAUUGUAGGAUGAGGAACUACUACUACUACUGAGCAACGAGCUUGCUAGCUGGGUCGCAGCUCUUUGCUCUAUCGGUGGCUGGUGGUUCUUCUUCGUCUGGUGUCUCUCUUCGGAGCAAACGCCUCCUUUUAUAGCAGCUGCUGCAACACAAAAAAUGGCACAUAACAACGGGGGUGAUGUGGAUAUCACGAUGAGUGGUGUGGGGACAAACCAACAGGGUGAACAAGCACACACGGCAAGCUUUGGUUCUGCAAACAUCAACAAUACAAAUGAAGGAACGGGGGUCCCCAGACUUGCCUGCCUGUGGCCUGCGGCAUGGUUCAAGGAGUGGCCCAAUACAUCCCAUCUUCAUCAACUCAAGCUCAAGACUCUCGCGAGGGGCCAAGCCUCGCGGGGCGGACGGUGCAAGGCUUCCUCAGGAACGGCCUCACCAGGCAGGCUCGCGAGGAGGCGGAGAGAUCAAGGCAGGGGUACCUCGCAAGGUGCUCGUGACGC